rnacentral:rRNA from 1 species
GACGUAGGAUGCAAGCGUUGUCCGGAUUUAUUGGGCGUAAAGAGUUCGUAGGUGGUUUGUUAAGUCUGAUGUUAAAGACCGGGGCUCAACCUCGGAAGUGCAUUGGAUACUGGCAGACUCGAGUAUGGUAGAGGCGAGUGGAAUUCCCAGUGUAGCGGUGAAAUGCGUAGAUAUUGGGAGGAACACCAGUGGCGAAGGCGGCUCACUGGACCGGAACUGACGCUGAGGCGCGAAAGCGUGGGGAGCAAACAGG